AACACUUUAGAGCGGAACCCCCUUGAGUCCGCUCUCAACAAUUCCACAACAAUAGUCCUUGUUGCAUGUGCGAUAGUAAGAAAUUGGGGUGCAACUGUUUCAGAUUCUCCAAAUUAUCUAAUAUGAUUGGCCCAAUUCGAAGGCGCAAUCCAAUGUUCCGUCCAUUCAAGUUGGCGAACAUAUGUACUAUCUCACUAGGGAUCCAGCACUAAAGUCAGGCACCACCCUCAUCCCAACCGUUGGAAUCCAUCCAAUGGUCCUCCGUAUAGGGUGUCGCGUUCACUAGAGGCGGUUAUAAUCAAAAUUUGGAUCAUUU
rnacentral:lncRNA from 1 species